UACACUCCUACGGGAGGCAGCAGUGGGGAAUUUUGGACAAUGGGCGAAAGCCUGAUCCAGCAAUGCCGCGUGAGUGAAGAAGGCCUUCGGGUUGUAAAGCUCUUUUGUCAGGGAAGAAACGGUGAAAGCUAAUAUCUUUUGCUAAUGACGGUACCUGAAGAAUAAGCACCGGCUAACUACGUGCCAGCAGCCGCGGUAAUACGUAGGGUGCAAGCGUUAAUCGGAAUUACUGGGCGUAAAGCGUGCGCAGGCGGUUUUGCAAGUCUGAUGUGAAAUCCCCGGGCUCAACCUGGGAAUUGCAUUGGAGACUGCAAGGCUAGAAUCUGGCAGAGGGGGGUAGAAUUCCACGUGUAGCAGUGAAAUGCGUAGAUAUGUGGAGGAACACCGAUGGCGAAGGCAGCCCCCUGGGUCAAGAUUGACGCUCAUGCACGAAAGCGUGGGGAGCAAACAGGAUUAGAAACCCCUGUAGUCCCA
rnacentral:rRNA from 1 species